UACAGAGGGUGCAAGCGUUAAUCGGAGUUACUGGGCGUAAAGGGCGCGUAGGCGGUGAUAUGAGUGUGAUGUGAAAGCCCCGGGCUUAACCUGGGAAGUGCAUCGCAAACGAUAUGACUGGAGUAGAUGAGAGGGUGGCGGAAUUUCCGGUGUAGCGGUGGAAUGCGUAGAGAUCCGGAAGAACACCGGAGGCGAAGGCGGCUUGCUGGGCAUGGUC
rnacentral:rRNA from 1 species